rnacentral:rRNA from 1 species
UACGGGGGGGGCAAGCGUUGUUCGGAAUUACUGGGCGUAAAGGGCGCGUAGGCGGCCAUCUAAGUCAGACGUGAAAUCCCUCGGCUCAACCGAGGAACUGCGUCUGAUACUGGAAGGCUUGAAUCCGGGAGAGGGAUGCGGAAUUCCAGGUGUAGCGGUGAAAUGCGUAGAUAUCUGGAGGAACACCGGUGGCGAAGGCGGCAUCCUGGACCGGCAUUGACGCUGAGGAGCGAAAGCCAGGGGAGCAAACAGG